rnacentral:SRP_RNA from 1 species
GGUAAGUCAUAUACGACCAGCUCCUGUCUAACUCCCCCAGGUUCGGAAGAAAGCAAGGGUACGAUGGUUGAGCGGUGCGAUAUCAUGGCUUGCCCUU